GAUGAACGCUGGCGGCGUGCCUAAUACAUGCAAGUCGAGCGAAUGGAUUAAGAGCUUGCUCUUAUGAAGUUAGCGGCGGACGGGUGAGUAACACGUGGGUAACCUGCCCAUAAGACUGGGAUAACUCCGGGAAACCGGGGCUAAUACCGGAUAAUAUUUUGAACUGCAUGGUUCAAAAUUGAAAGGCGGCUUCGGCUGUCACUUAUGGAUGGCCCCGCGGCGCAUUAGCUAGUUGGUGAGGUAACGGCUCACCAAGGCAACGAUGAGUAGCCGACCUGGGAGGGUGAUCGGCCACACUGGGACUGAGACACGGCCCAGACUCCUACGGGAGGCAGCAGUAGGGAAUCUUCCGCAAUGGACGAAAGUCUGACGGAGCAACGCCGCGUGAGUGAUGAAGGCUUUCGGGUCGUAAAACUCUGUUGUUAGGGAAGAACAAGUGCUAGUUGAAUAAGCUGGCACCUUGACGGUACCUAACCAGAAAGCCACGGCUAACUACGUGCCAGCCGCCGCAGUAA
rnacentral:rRNA from 1 species